GAAAACUUAUGUGGUUACACGAGUCAUUUUAUUCCUGGGCCUCUUGCAAGUGCUAGCAGCCGAGUUGUAACGAGAAGGAAGUUAAGCAAUUCGGACAGGAAACUAAUUGGCCGAUAGGACAUUGCUGACAACUGGCAGGGACUCUGCCUUUUGAAGAUGUACUCGACGGUGGGAGAGCUGAGCCUGUGAUCGAUCUGGAUAAGUCUACAACCCUCUGCACCUUUUUCCAUUAUGCGCAUUGGAUCCUCCAUACCAGCAGAACGACAGCCCUCCAUUUCAGGCAACAAUUGAUGAAGACACAAGAGACUGCAGAUGCUGGAAUCUGGAGUAGCAAAUAGUCUGAUCAGCGGCUCGAGCAGCAUUCAUGGGAGGAAAGGAAUUGUCAACAUUUUGGGUGGAAACACUGCAUCUAGAUCGUGAACAUCUGUGGAACCUUCUACUGGUGUGGACACUGAAAAGUGAUGUCAUGCUCUGUGACUAUCAACACGCAGCAAGAGUUAUCCUAAAGCUACAGGAUGUUCCUUCCUCUGCUGGGAAUGUGUCUCCUGUGUUGCAACAUCUGAAUGAGCCAGGAUCCAGGGGGCCCAGUGUGGUGAACUACAUAUACCUGUCAGGACACGCCCCCCCCCCCUCCCGCUGACUGCUCCUGUGGCUCCUCCCACUGACCCCUGUAUAAUGGUGAUUGGAGCCACAGACCCUUCCUCAGUCUCCAAGAUGUUCUGUGAUGGUCACUUGCUGCUUGUGCUUUCUUCCAGCCAA